rnacentral:sRNA from 1 species
UCAAGGCAAUUUUGGCUCCAGCUCACCGAAAUGGCCCUGCUGUGUGCCCUUUGCUCCAGUGCCUUCUACUCGGAUGUAUAUGAAAUAGUAAACUUGAAAAGUAGAAAGAUAUAGUUUUAGAAACAUCACAGGAUCAACGCUGAUCAUUUUGGGGGGUUUACUUGUGUUUACUUCACACACUGAAUGAUGGACCAAAUGGUGAUGGCACUCAAAGGUGUUAAAGAACAAGCAGGGGAACACUAUUAUAACUGGAAUCAUUCCUGAGUGGAGAGGGGACAGUUGGACAAGACAGGAAUUUGCUCCUUCCUGAUGGUUUCUGUCAUUGUCAGCAUGAGUUCAGAAACAUGACUGUUCCAGUAGCUGACAAAGCAGGUGAACAAAUCCCAAAGGCAAAUAUUAAAUCCUAAAAAUUCGUGGAAAAGGCAAGAGCAGUAUUGGAAAACAGGUAAUGAAACAUGACAGAAGGAAGGACCUGACACCACUGAGACUUGGAGCAACAUUGCAGGGUCUAUUGUUGGAGAGGCACUGGGACUCGUUCUGAUUAAUUCCUCAGUGCAUCGUUGGACAUCUGUUAGCAUAACCCAUUAUUGCUACAGCACCAAAUCUA